GAACCGGGCAAACGUUAUUCGGGAAUUACUGGGGCUUAAAGGGUGCGUAGGCGGCGCUUCAAGUCGGGUGUGAAAUCCCCCCCAGCUCAACUGGGGGAACUGCACCCGAAACUGGAGUGCUUGAGGGAGAUAGAGGUGAGCGGAACGAAUGGUGGAGCGGUGAAAUGCGUUGAUAUCAUUCGGAACACCCGUGGCGAAAGCGGCUCACUGGGUCUCUUCUGACGCUGAGGCACGAAAGCUAGGGGAGCGAACGGGAUUAGAUACCCCGGUAGUCCUAGCUGUAAACGAUGAGCACUAGAUCGGGGAGCCUUCCACAGCCUCCCGAUCGUAGCGAAAGUGUUAAGUGCUCCGCCUGGGGAGUAUGGUCGCAAGGCUG
rnacentral:rRNA from 1 species